rnacentral:lncRNA from 1 species
NNNNNNNNNNNNNNNNNNNNNNNNNNNNNNNNNNNNNNAAAAAAAAAUUUACUUCUUAAAUAUUGUGAAAUUAAUAUACCCUGUACUAUUAUGAGAUUGUUUAUUCUCACCAUGACCUCUGAAAAAUGCGAUCUUUUUUCCUUCUUAACUCAGAUUUUACAAAAACUAAGAGUAAACAUGUUGAGUGUAAGUUUUCCCAUACCUUGACUGGAAAUGCAAAAUAUCACUCAAGUCUUAACAAUUUAGAAUCAAAAUCGAAACACUCACAACCCCUACUCCUUUCUCUCAAAAUUAUCAGAUUAUUAAGGAAAAGAAAAUGUAUGUAAUGAAGUUAAUGGAUACAUGUAUUGUUUAGGCACCCUUCCAAAUGCAAGGUUUUCAAGAAAUGUGUCAUACUUUGAUGAUUAAUGUAAAACUGUGGUCUAAGGCCAGGCGCAGCAGCUCACACCUAUAAUCCCAGCACUUUCGGAGGCCAAGGCAGGAUGAUUGCUUGAGCCCAGGAGUUUGAGACCAGCCUGUGCAACACAGCGAAACCCCCAUCUCUAAAUAAGUAAGUAAAUAAAUAAAACUGUGGUUUAGGUAAUAAAUAGAAGGAAAGAAACUAACAGAGUUGACUGUAAAAUAUAUAAAUAUACACACAUCUAUAGUCUGCAAAUGCUUCCUAUUUGCAGACUAUAAAUGCACUACAUGAUACUUGUCUGAUCUGUGCAUUAAUCCUUACUUGGCUUUCCUGCUCCCUGGUGCUCAUAGACCGAAGCAGGCCUUGAAUCUCCAUUUCAUGUUCCACCACUUGUUUGUUUCGAUCACUUAGAAGGUCCUGCAGCAUCCUUUCCUUUCGCUGUAGACGCUGGCACAGCUCCUCUGCUAUCUCACUCUGCCCUGGUCCAAGUUUGCAGAGCAAUGUUGCACUAAGAUCCUAAUGCAGAAAGGACACUGUAAGCUUCUGGAGGAAAGAAAUGCCUCUGCUAAAUAUCAAAGGGCUUAUAAGAAUCUAUCAUAGAAGAAGGAGGUGUGAGAUUCUUGAGAAUAAGUAUCACGUUUUACUCAUUUUUGUUUUACCAGAUCUAGCACAGGCCUGCUACACAGAAGUCUCUAAAUACAUGUCCCAGGAAUGAAUACAAACAAUACAGAAAACUAUCUCUGGUGGCCACUUACAUACAUAUUGUUUUCUGAAAUAAGUCUUUUUCCUAUUUGUUCACGGCAUGUAACAAUUAAUGUUAGAUGAGGAUAAAUGGACACUCAGUUCAUUUACUAGUAACUGCUCUUUUUGGUUUUCUUCCCCCUUAUAAAGCAAAAUCCCUGGUUUUCAGAAAAUGAUGGAAGGGGAUCAUGCUUCAGGCUCAGGAUACAAGUGGGAGAGGAACACCAAGUCAGAGAUAGGUUUUGCUCUUACUUGCAUAGUAGCUUCAUUGGAGGAGAGGACACCGCGCAGUCUCUCUAAGUCAUGAUCUCGCUCUCUCACAGCAAGACGAAGCUGGCGCAGUUCUUUUUCUUUCUCUUCUAGAGCAGAGAAUUUUUCAUCUAUAGCCCGCUGCAAGAAAAGGAAGACUCCUAAAGCUCUGUAAGAUUUACUAUCCUGAUCACUCUUAUUCAACAAGAUGGCAGA